UGGCACCAACGGGUGUAAUAAUACCUAGGAACUUUCUUUAAGUGGGGCAUAACCCAGCCGAACAGGUUGGAUAAUUCCCCAUGUGACCGUAAGGUUCAAAGUCGCCAAGACGCUAUAAAGUGAGAGCCUGGGGCACCAUCAGCUAGUUGGUAGGGUAAAGGCCUACCAAGGCUAUGACGAGAUUACGGGCCCCUGAGAGGGGAAACCCCCACACUGGAACUGCGACACGGUCCAGACUCCUACGGGAGGCAGCAGUUUGGAAUUAUGGACAAUGGGCGAAAGCCUGAUCCAGCGACGCCGCAGUGGACGAUGAAGGCCUUCGGGUUGUAAAGUCCUUAUUGCCUGGGAACAAUUUUUGAGUGUACCAGGAGAAUAAGAGGUUGCUAACUCUGUGCCAGCAGCAGCGGUAAUACAGAGACCUCAAGCGUUAUCCGGAAUCAUUGGGCGUAAAGCGUACCGAUAGGUGGUUUUACAAGUCAGAAGUGAAAUCUCUCAGCUCAACUGGGUGAAUGUCUUUUGAAACUGUAAAACUUGAGGGGCAAAGAGGAAGCUGGAACGAACGGUGUAGUAUGAAAUGCGUUGAUAUCGUUCGGAACAACAAUAGCGUAGGCAAGCUUCUGGGUGCCACCUUGACAACUGCUUAGGACCGAAAAAGCGUGGGGUU
rnacentral:rRNA from 1 species